CACGCCCUAAACGAUGUCUACUAGUUGUUGGGUCUUAAUUGACUUAGUAACGCAGCUAACGCGUGAAGUAGACCGCCUGGGGAGUACGGUCGCAAGAUUAAAACUCAAAGGAAUUGACGGGGACCCGCACAAGCGGUGGAUGAUGUGGAUUAAUUCGAUGCAACGCGAAAAACCUUACCUACCCUUGACAUGUACAGAAUGCCGAAGAGAUUUGGCGGUGCUCGCAAGAGAACUGUAACACAGGUGC
rnacentral:rRNA from 2 species